UACGUAGGGUGCGAGCGUUAAUCGGAAUUACUGGGCGUAAAGCGUGCGCAGGCGGGCUUUUAAGCCAGACGUGAAAUCCCCGGGCUUAACCUGGGAAUGGCGUUUGGGACUGGGAGUCUGGAGUGCGGCAGAGGAGACUGGAAUUCCUGGUGUAGCAGUGAAAUGCGUAGAUAUCAGGAGGAACACCGAUGGCGAAGGCAGCCCCCUGGGCUAACACUGACGCUCAUGCACGAAAGCGUGGGGAGCAAACAGG
rnacentral:rRNA from 1 species